rnacentral:lncRNA from 1 species
GACGCAAGAGUCUCAAACGAAGGUCCUCUGGGAUGCAAGCCAGACUCGGAAUGUGCUAAACUGCUGAGCAAACCAGUGAACCCUAGGUGGUGCUCAGAUGGUCUGACUAAGUCCCAAAAAAGGAGGGUCCAACGUUUGUGCCAAUGGGAGCAGCAAGAAGAGGAACAAAGGCAAGCGGUGGACAAGAGAGGAGUCAAGUCUCAAAUUUGGCACCCCAGAAGAAAAGCUG